UGUGUUAUUGUAAUAAUUGAUGUUGUAUGUAUAUUGUAUGUACGCGUACUGUGUAGCCGUGUAUAGGUACUUACUACUUGGUUCGUACCAAUUUAUCGAUUUAUGUUUUUCAGUUUUUAUAACGCACUAACGCAGUACGUUCAAAACUGACCUAUUUCGAUGUCUUUUUUAGUCUCGUACGAAUCGUUGUAAUGUCUACGAAAAGCGUUUGACAAGUAACAACGAUGGAAAACCAGUCGAUUGACAAUAAACCGGCCAUCGUGAGCCCGCCGAGACAAGUUCUGCCUGGUUAUGUAGCACAACAGCCUCCACCACACACUAACCAAAUACACCUGCAGACAGACUUUACGUCUCCACCACCAACGCACCCCCAUGGGUUCUGGCCGCAACAAGCUUUUCCUAAUUCAUGGCAAACACAGUUCCGUAUGCCCAGUCCCGCACCACAAACCAAGACUACCGUCACAAACACUACGACAUGUAAUAAUAAUUCUCCUACGUUCAGUUCCACUAGUAACAGUACUAUAAGAUCACCUUUGCCACGCUGGAGGUCAUUCAACAACACAGCACGUCAACGAACACCUUAUCAAUAUGGGAAUACUCCAAGAAACAAUUAUCCAAGACAAUUUUCUCAAAAUGCUAACGGGAAUUUCUUUGCUAAUUCUCCACAAAACCCACAAACACCAUCUUCAUCAUCAACUCAAAAUUGGCCACAAUUCAAUCAAAGACCUCGGUUUAUACCAAGACAACACAUGCGUAUGAACAGACCUCGUAGUUCUGUUCAAAAUCAAUCAAAUGGAACUAAUCAGGAAACAAAUGCCGUGACAGAAUGCAAAACACGGAAGCGCAAAUUAAAAUCACAGCAAUCAGGAGAACCACAACGUGCUCAAAAGCCAUGGAACCGUGAGGAUGCUGUAAAAGCAAUUGCUGCUGAAAUGGAACUACGAACACCUAAAAACAAUCAACAAAUUAUGAUCAGAUUUCCAGAUCAUGAAAUUACGCGGCAAAUUGUUCAGAACUUUCAUACUGACAUUAAAUCUGUACAUUUCCAUACACCAUGUAAUCCAAGAUAUUGUUAUGUGCAAGUACAACCAAGUGCAAAUAUUGAAAAUGUUGCAAAUGCGCUAAAUGAAACAGUUUUCCAACAUGAAAAAUUGCGUGUAGAAAUUAAAGAAAGUCAGUUUGAAGAGAAGGCAUUCCCAGAGUGCAUUGAUCCAUACACAUUAUAUCUUGGAAAUUUGCCAACAAAUAUCACAUCUAAUGCUGUUAAAGAUGAGUUUCCAAAAGCCACUCGAGUUGAUAUUGGGUUUGCUAAAAAAAUGAAGUACACAAGAUAUGCAUUUAUCAAAUUUUCUAAUGCUGAAGAUGCGAUACAAGCAUAUAAAGAAAAAUAUAAUUUGGUUAUUGAUAGCCGAUCAGUUGUAUUAAGAUUUAGACGCGGUAAAGGAAAUGUAAAUCCACCUGGACAAGUAGAUAAAUUACCAAAUGAGAUGAAUGAAUUUGACAUACAAAGCUUACGGAAAAAAAUCAAGAGAGAACCUAUAGAAGAAAAUAUUGAUGAAUAUGAUCCUCCUCCAAUUAAUGUAUCCAGAAUAGUUAAGCCUGAAAUGAUGGAAGAAGAUGAUUAUGAACAUGAUUCUGUGUAUGAAUCUCAUGUACCAUAUGGAAAUGAUAUAAAUAUUAAAUCCGAGUGUCCUGAUUAUGAUGAUGAGUAUGAUGAACAAUAUUAUGAAGACGAAGAUCCAUCAAAUGUAUCUUACACUUUCCGAAGAAAUGAAACUGUCAGUAUGGAUGUAGUACUUGCUGAUAAUAAUAGUGUACAGUGCAUUCAAACUAGUAACAGUGACGAUAUCACAAUACCUACUGGAGUUGAGGAUGAAGACAGACGAUGGAAUGAAAAACCAGAUGACGAAGAUGAAUUUGAAAUGCCAUAUUCAUUUGUAUCUAAAAAACAAAUACUAUCAGAAAGUAACAAAGACAUCACUUUGCCUACAUCCGAUGAAAUUCAUGAUGGUGGGAGCGACAGAGAAGACCAAAGAUGGAACAAUUCUUCAGAUGAUGAUAAUGAUGAUGGCGGUGCUGAAUACAAUUGGGAAGGAUUAAAUGAGCAAAAAAAAUCCGAGAAACAAACUAAAGAUUAUGAAAAACGAGAAUAUAACUUUAAAAAAUCAGAUGACAUUAAAGCCGUUAAAUGAUUCAAAUUCAAACUUGAAAUACACACGAGUCUUGUUCACUCAAUGUGGCCAAAAGGGUAUGUAGGUUUGUAUCGGCCCGGUAUUGGGGCAUGUCAAGACGCAAAACUGAUGCACGUGUACUGAAGCGACAGAAGGAACGUUGAUCAAAAGCUGUAAAUCAGACCUCAAAUGAAUGGAACUCACAACACGCCAUCUAUUCUAUUUUCCAAACUGUACUAUUGAACUCAAUCUACAUUAAGGAUCCCUUCAAACAUUCCUCUGCAUCGCGUAUGUUUUAAAUGUUUUAAUCCUAUAUAUUAUCAUAGUUAAUCAAUAUUAUAUCUUGUUGUUAAAGCUGUGUGUUAAUUGGUGAAUAUAGUCUUAGUAGGAAUCUAUCUUUCUGUACAAGGUGUUCCUCUAAAUAUCAUUGUACUUUUUUGAUUGGCCGCUGGUUUAGAAUCUGUAUGAUUAGAUGAAUAAAACAUCCUCGCCCCAGUUUUUGUUUUGGCCAAUUGAGAAUAGUGCUUAAAAUUAUCGAGGUAGCCUUUAUUAACUAUUUAUAUAUAAGUGUAGAAUAGUAAUUUCCUCUUGUAAUUUUAGCAUAGUAUAUUGUGUUUAGUACUUUAAGUUCUACAAUAAUUAUACUUAUAUAGUCAAUAUUAUAUAAUUACACACAUCACAUAUAAUAUAAUAUAUUAUACCAUAAACUAGUUCCUCUAUAUUCAGUGUUACAAAUACACAUACAUUUUAUCAUAUAUUGUCAUAUUUUUUUCUUUAUAGUUAUGUACUUCCAACAUAAUUUAUGAUUUAAAUUAUGUAAAUAGAAGAAAAAAGUUGUACUUGUGUGUUGGAUGUACAUGAAUAAUGUCUGUUAAUUGUCUAUAAUGUGUUGUGGAGCUAAUGUUUUUAAUAUAAUAUUAUAAAUGUACGGUAUACAAAAAAAGACUAACGGUGUUAUAAGAUUUUGAUGUGAAAGUCAUUUAAAUUGAAGGUUUUACUGAAUAUUAAACUUGUGUAUUGACCGUCAUGGUAUAAUAUUGUAUAAAAAAAUUUUGAUGGAAUUUGAAUAUUUUUUUUUUUUUUUUUUAUGGUUUACCAAUAAGUCUGUGCUCAUUAUUAUCGUAUUAUAUUUACAUUAUUUUUUUUUUUAUAUAUACAUACUAAAUUUCAAUAUUUAAAUACAUAUAAGCUUACAGUUGUUGUUUUGGCUCUGCAUAAUUGAAAAAAUAUAAAAAUUAUAAUUAUAAUUAUUAUGCAUCAUGCUAUAACAAACAUAUCGGGUAAUUUAUGAUUAUUUAUAAUGUAUAGUUUGCUUUAAAAUUAAGAUUGAUAUAUUUAAAUAGUUAACAUUAGCAUAUAUUGUAAUUAAAAUCAAAAGGGAUUUUAAUUUACGUAAUAAAAUACUAGAUAUUUAUGUAUAUAUAUAAAAAAAUAAAUAAACUACAGACUCUUCGGCGUUUGUAGCUUAUAUGAAUAAGACUUUUAGACAAAAACUUAUAUAAUUAUUACUAAAAUGUAUUAAAUUUAAGUUCGCGUAUAACAUCAUUACAUAUUUUGAUUAGACAAUGCCUGAUGUUGACUCAUCUUUCUAAUAUUAACUUAUCAGGAAUUGAGACUUAAAGUAGCUACCAUUAUUCAUUGUGUUUUUUGGUGUUAAACAGCCUUAAAUUUGAGCAAGAUAAUUUGUUUCUAGUUUUAGGCGAUAAAAUAUACUAAACUUCAUGCAGUAUUGUAGCUAUUUUCACAUGGUUUUUUUUUUCAAUGUAAAUGUCUUAACUUUUUAUAAUUGUCAUUAUUAUUAUAACUUACUAUUAUUUUGAUCAUUUAUUGUAAUUUAAAAUAUUUCUCUGAUAUAUUUUAUACAUUAAUAUUAUUUUAUUAUUUUAUAUAUUAUAUUUUAUUUUAUUUGUUUAAGUAUAUUCAAAAUGUUAAUUUUUAAGUAUUUUUGCCUAUAAAUGCUUCAAAUUCUGAUAUUUCUUAUAGUAUAAUUAAAAACCAUAAUUUCAUAUGCAUAAAUUGUGUAUUUCCUUUGAGGACUGUUUUGUAUUGUAUUUAAUGAGGAGAGUAGUCACUGAAUUAUUUUACCUUAGGUACUCUAAUUAGGUUUGUAUAUUUAAAUAUUAUACUGUAAAUAAGUAUAAUUUUAGAACCUAAUGGUUACAAAUUAAACAGAAAUUGAAAGAAAAAAAUCAGAAUUUGAAAAUAUAUAGUUGAAGCAUUAAAAUUGGGUAAGCAUACUUAAAAAUCAUUCUUUAGUCUUUAUAAUCUAUAUGAAACAAAUUUUAAAUUUCACAAAAUAUUGUAUUCUUUAUGGAAAAAAAUAUAUAUAAGUCUUGUCUUUUGUGUUUCUAUUUUGAUUUUCUAAUGUAAUACAUUUAUAUUUUUUAUUAUUUUUUAUCUAUUGCGACACGGGACAUUUAUACUUUUUUUUUAUUGAAUUGUUAUACUUAUAACUCAAUGUUCAGGAGACAUUUACAUCUGUUUCCAUUAUUUAGUACUGAUGAAUUUGUACUUUAUUUGAUAAUAAUUUAUGUUAAUAUCUAAGUUUUCAUAAGAAUAAACUACAUUUGUAGAUUCGUGAGUAA